CACCUCCUUCCGAUCUUUCUCAAAUAUCACUCUCUCCGGGAGGACUUUCUCUUCAUCCUGUUCUUCCAUUCCUUUCGCUGUUUCCUUGAGGUCUUUUUCUUCUCGUACAGGCCAUGUCUUGCAAGCCUGUGUUUGGGUUCAUUUUUCUUUGCAUAAUCCAAGGAAUCGUAAAUCAUGCCAAAGCCAGUUGUCUUGCUACCACCAAAAUGAGUUCUGAAUC